rnacentral:sRNA from 1 species
GAGAAGAGGAAUCUAACCUGUGAAAUUUAUGACUUUACCUUCCUCAGAGCCUCAUGGGCAGGGCCAAAUAUGCUAAAAUGCAAUCAAUAUUCCAAAGUUAUCUCCUCUACUCCCACUCAUUUUGGGAAAAACCCUAAAUGCAUGGUUAUAAAGUCCAUGAAGCCCUCUGCCACAAGUGUAAAAAAAAUCAUGACCCCUGGGUUAGGGGAUCAGGCCCUAGGGUGGGGCCAAUGUGGUCAAAUAGUGAAAUUGCAUUAAAUCUUUGAAAUUCUUUUUUUAUCUACUCCCUUAUAUUACAUGCAUGGCUAUGAAUUCCUCCACCAAAAUUGUGAAAUUCAUGGCCUAUGGAUCAGAGGUUCAGGCCCUAGGGUGGUACCAAUAUGACUUCCAUUUAUAGUAAAUUUUAAAUGAAAAUAUUGUAUAAUAUUUUAUGUACUUUCAAAGUUAAGUGAGAUAAACAUAAUGCAUUGUUACUAUGCACAUUAUGUCAUCUUCUUUAAUUGUAAAAUUCACAACCCAUGGAGAAAGGGUUGAGGUUUUUUAUUUGGGGGAAUUGGAGUGAUUAUGGUCAUUUAGUGAACAUUUAUUUAUUUUUAAGUCAUUUGAGUCUAUUUGACAACCUAUUGUCACCUGUCAUGUGUUGUCCAUUUACAAUUUCACAUUUUAAACUUCAUCUUGAAAACUUUUCCUGUGCAUUAUAUGCCUGUAGCAAUACACUGUAUACAUGCUGUGUGCAUUAUGUAUGAAACAGUGAAUAUUACAAAAGAUUGGCCUGCAGGUCUAUUUUUACCAAAAGUUUACAAUUUUCCUCCAUGAAGCUAGGGUAUAAAUAAAUAAUCCAAGAACCCCCCCCCCCAUAAUGAAUGGAUGUUUGCAAACAGCAAAUGAUACAAAUUGAAGCUUAAAAUGCAAUCAUGGGACUCCCUGACAGGUCUAUCUGGGGGUUGCGUUACACAGCUGACUGCCCAGGCCCGUGGGCCCCUUGUUUUAGUUCUCCUCCAAAUACUUGUGCACUUUUUAUGAUAUUUUUUAUGGCAUAAUAACACUUGGUACAUGUAGAUGAACCAACGCCCUUCUGAAUUGAUUUAAUUAAGAGGAAAAGUUUACCUCAUCUCUUUUCUACAGAGCUUUAGUUCAACAGCUGAGUUAAAUAUCACUGAUUUGUAAAUUUUUACAUCAUUUUAUUUCCAUAUUAUGACAAAUGUAGUUCUUGUGAGCAGUGACAUAAAUAAAUCUAAAGGGUAAUUAUUUAGGUCUCUUCUCUGAGAUUUCAUUUUGAAUCCAUCAGAGUGCAAUGUAGUUGUUUAUAUCACAUUUCAAAUUAUAUACCAUGUUACCAAGGUAUACACAUUUAUUUAAUUGCAUUAAAUGUUUACUAUAUUGAACCACAUGAUUUUUAUUUAUAAGCACAUUAAACACUUCUUAAUUUG